rnacentral:sRNA from 1 species
CCAAGCCAUGACUAAGGAGCCCAUUUGAUAGCAGAGGUGGCGCGCAGCCCGGCGAGCCGAUGACGGACCCCUUCUUCCUGCCUUCAAUGCCUCAGCGGAAGAUCCCCAAGGGCUGGAGCCAGGAGCGCUGCCGCUGGACAUCCUCCCGGGGAGGCUGCUCCGACCUGCUGCGCGGCGCGUCUGAGACUGGGGACUGAGCCACCCCGCCGCCGCCGCCGCUGCUGCCCGCUCCGUCGCUGCCGUCGGUCUGGACUGGCCCCCACCUCGCUGCGCCCUCUCCCCGGCCCCGGCCCCGGCUCGG